rnacentral:rRNA from 1 species
UACAGGGGGCUCGAGCGUUAGUCGGAAUCACUGGGCUUAAAGGGUGCGUAGGCGGCUCGUCAAGUGUUUUGUGAAAUCCCACAGCUCAACUGUGGAACAGCAGGGCAAACUGACGAGCUUGAGGCAGGUAGGGGCCGGAAGAACAGUUGGUGGAGCGGUGAAAUGCGUAGAUAUCAACUGGAAUGCCGAUGGGGAAGCCGUCCGGCUGGGCCUGUCCUGACGCUGAGGCACGAAAGCGUGGGGAGCAAACAGG